AUGGAACGUCACAGAGUGCUCUUACACGAACCUAGAUGGUAGCGCCCACUACACACCAGGCUCUACGGUGUAGCCUAUUGCUCCCAGGCUACAAACCUGAACAGCAUGUUACUGUACUGAAUACUGCAGGCAAUUGUUACACAACGAGAUUGCAAAUCUACAUUAAUGAGUUUCUAGAGAAGAGUGUGAAGAUCGUGGUUCAUCUAUUCUCUGGCAAAUUUCUGUCAAAUCACCACUGUGCUCCAUAUGUGCUCUUCCUUACAUCAUUUUCCAUCUCAAAGGAAUUUUUUAAAUUCUACAUAGAAGAGUUAACAUCACUCUUUAUAAUAGCUGUGAAAUGCCAUGCUAAUCUUCAAUCACAGUUUUCACUGUCUUGAAAAGUCUUGGAUUUAAAAAGUCAAUUAAAUGAAAGUAAAUAAAUGAUUGAAAACAAAUCUAUCAACUCUACUGGGAAAAAAAAUUAAAAAUAUAUACGUUGCUAUCAGUAAUUACUUUAAAUGUAAAAUGAUUAAAUUCUUUAAUCAAAACAUAGGUAUUGGAGGAACAGAUUUGAAAACAUGAUCCAACUAUUUACUGUCUACAGGGAUUCGUCUUAGAUCCAAAGACACAAAUAAGUUGAAAGUGAAACACAAC
rnacentral:lncRNA from 1 species